rnacentral:rRNA from 1 species
ACUUAAAUUGAAGAGUUUGAUCAUGGCUCAGAUUGAACGCUGGCGGCAGGCCUAACACAUGCAAGUCGAGCGGCAGCGGAAAGUAGCUUGCUACUUUGCCG